rnacentral:rRNA from 1 species
CGUUCCCGGGCCUUGUACACACCGCCCGUCAAGUCACGAAAGUUGGUAACACCCAAAGCCGGUGGCCUAACCCCUUGUGGGAGGGAGCUGUCGAAGGUGGGACUGGCGAUUGGGACU